rnacentral:lncRNA from 1 species
CCCUUCUGCCAUGUGAGGACACACAGAAGUCACCAUCUAUAAGAAACAGGCUCCCACCAGACACUGAGUCUGCUGGAGCCUUGAUCUUGAAUUUCCCAACCUCCAGAACUGUGGCCACCAGACUUUCUCUGCUUGUAUCCUCCCAGGACCACAGAACUCAUCGCAUCCCAAGGCAGCCUAUUCCAUCAUGGAUGAGCUCAAAGUGUUUGAAAGUUCUGCUUUAUCAAGAGUGGCGUGCUGUGUGGAUAAUGAAUAUUGGGGAAGGCAUCUCUCUCCAGCCCCUCUCAAGCUUUCUGUAGUCACUGGUCCACUCUGUAUUGCUAUGAAGAAGCUCAAGACCAGCCUGUAUCACUCGGGGUCCUGGCAGGAACCAGGUGCCACACUCAAACUGAGUAAUUGAAGAGGGUUUAAUAUGGGAGUUAUUUACAUAGGUGUGGGCUGGUGUAGCUGCCCAUAUGCCCUCAAAAUCACCUCUACAUGGCAAUAGCUACUUACUGCUAACAGAGUCUCUCUCUCAUUGCUGCAAAUAUUUUCUAGCCAUGCAAGAAACUCAGCCGGUCAUGUUGAACAAACUAAGAGUGCCAGGAAGUUAAUGUCCUGGAAGCAUUGCCAGAGGGGAGGGGGCAGUUAGAUUCCCCAGCUUCCUCGCUCCUCUGCUGGGUUAAGCCUGCAACAUAUUCAUCAUCUCCCAGAGUGCUGCCCAGGGAUAGAGCUCCAGGUGCUCAGUGUGGUGACCUGCUCAUGUCAGCUUCUUCCCCUUUCCUGUCUUGUUUCGCACCCACAUCCUUCCCAUGUUUCCUCUUCCCAAAUAAACUACUUGCAUUG